rnacentral:rRNA from 1 species
AGUGAGCGCUGGCGGUAGGCCUAACACAUGCAAGUCGAACGGCAGCACAGUAAGAGCUUGCUCUUACGGGUGGCGAGUGGCGGACGGGUGAGGAAUACAUCGGAAUCUACUUUUUCGUGGGGGAUAACGUAGGGAAACUUACGCUAAUACCGCAUACGACCUACGGGUGAAAGCAGGGGAUCUUCGCACCUUGCGCGAUUGAAUGAGCCGAUGUCGGAUUAGCUAGUUGGCGGGGUAAAGGCCCACCAAGGCGACGAUCCGUAGCUGGUCUGAGAGGAUGAUCAGCCACACUGGAACUGAGACACGGUCCAGACUCCUACGGGAGGCAGCAGUGGGGAAUAUUGGACAAUGGGCGCAAGCCUGAUCCAGCCAUACCGCGUGGGUGAAGAAGGCCUUCGGGUUGUAAAGCCCUUUUGUUGGGAAAGAAAAGCAGCAGGUUAAUACCCCGCUGUUCUGACGGUACCCAAAGAAUAAGCACCGGCUAACUUCGUG